UACUGCCCUUGUGAGGUGCUGAAAGUCCCUUGGACUUGAAGAGUAUCCUGAAUUUCCACUAUAUUCAGCAAGAGAAGAAAAUACCCAGCAUCAGUGCACUGUGGAGAACAACAUACACGUCUGCUUUUUGCAAAGACUUCUCACAUUUUGGAGAUUGUGCCUUCAAAACAUUUUGAAGUGGCAGGAAAAGAGUUCGUAGUAGUCAAGGUGUUUUGACUGAAAUGCAGAGAAACCUGAAUUUGAAGAACUGCCUUUUAGUGAUUGUGUCCAGUGAUACUUGAAAAGACCUGGAACAAAUGCAUAGAAAAACUCAGCGGUCUGCUUAAAAAUGAAGAAGCCAUGACACCUAGCGCAAAUCUCUGAUGCUCGUGGGACUGUUCCAAGUUCAAUAAAAUUUCAUUUUCUGAAGAUUAUAAGAUUCCUCCAACUCCAGUCAAGAUCUUGAGCCAGAGGGAGGUCCAGUUUGCAUAAAACUAAAGCUCUGCCACAGGCAAGUGACACAUAUAUCUCAUCAACAAAAUUUUCAAUCUGAAAGUGUUAUUUUCUAUGUGGGAAAAGUCAGCUUAAGUGACUAUAAACUGCUGCUGAAAUUUUAACUGGAAUUAUGCACACAGUCCUGGCUGGCAUAAGCAGAAAAUAUUUGCACAGACAUCCACUGUCCUGACCCACAGAUAGAGUUCAAACAAACACUGAUGGGAAAAUUAAAUUAGAAGUACAGGAUAUUGUCCUUCAUUCUCUGCAUUCAGGCUACUCCGAUGGCAGAAUCUGAAAUUUAUAUGGCAUUUUAAUUGGUCAUAAACAAACUCAAACUGAU